rnacentral:lncRNA from 1 species
UCAAAGGGUGUUGUACAUCAAUCUAUCAGAGCCAAUCAUACACAAGUGGAUAUUCCACUAGAUCAUUAUCUACUCUAUAUGUCACACACGAGAUAGGAGAGAGCUCAAUCAAGAGUCUAUAAAUCCAUACGAUAAUCAACAUAACAAUCAAUAGACAUGUAGAGUAAAAGCAUGUAUAGAUGUGAACUUAGGGGAAGUUGUCCUACUCAAACAAUAUAUGGAAUAGAUUAAGCAGAAAUAAAAAUCAAGUAAAAUACAACUUUACCGACAUCGAAAUGGAACAGCCCACCUCACCAAGUACCUAAAUCCUUGACUUGAACGAUGAUUCUAGAA